AAUAAGAUCAUUUUUCGUUUUUUCGUGUCUAACGUUUAACUAUUUGUCUUAUUUGAAAAAUUUGUAUAAAAACUUAAAAAAAUUAGUCACGCAUAAAGUACUAUUCAUGUUUUAUCAUGUAGUAAGAAAAAAAUAUUAAUCGCAAAAUUUUUUCAAAUAAGACGAAUGGUCAAACGUUGGACACGGAAAAACGAAAAAUGAUCUUAUU
rfam:Oryza brachyantha chromosome 6, whole genome shotgun sequence.